rnacentral:rRNA from 1 species
AUUGGACGCUGGCGGCAGGCUUAACACAUGCAAGUCGAGCGGGGGAAGGUAGCUUGCUACCGGACCUAGCGGCGGACGGGUGAGUAAUGCUUAGGAAUCUGCCUAUUAGUGGGGGACAACAUCUCGAAAGGGAUGCUAAUACCGCAUACGUCCUACGGGAGAAAGCAGGGGAUCUUCGGACUUUGCGCUAAUAGAUGAGCCUAAGUCGGAUAUAGCUAGUUGGUGGGGUAAAGGCCUACCAAGGCGACGAUCUGUAGCGGGUCUGAGAGGAUGAUCCGCCACACUGGGACUGAGACACGGCCCAGACUCCUACGGGAGGCAGCAGUGGGGAAUAUUGGACAAUGGGGGGAACCCUGAUCUAGCCAUGCCGCGUGUGUGAAGAAGGCCUUAUGGUUGUAAAGCACUUUAAGCGAGGAGGAGGCUACUCUAGUUAAUACCUAGGGAUAGUGGACGUUACUCGCAGAAUAAGCACCGGCUAACUCUGUGCCAGCAGCCGCGGUAA